rnacentral:rRNA from 1 species
CGCGUAGGCGGACACUUAAGUCAGGGGUGAAAUCCCGGGGCUCAACCUCGGAACUGCCUUUGAUACUGGGUGUCUUGAGUGUGAGAGAGGUGUGUGGAACUCCGAGUGUAGAGGUGAAAUUCGUAGAUAUUCGGCGGAACACCAGUGGCGAAGGCGACUCACUGGCCCGAUACUGACGCUGAGGCGCGAAAGCGUGGGGAGCAAACA